rfam:Parcubacteria (Giovannonibacteria) bacterium GW2011_GWA1_44_25 TW53_C0027, whole genome shotgun sequence.
GUGGAUGUGGCUCAGUGGUAGAGCUCCUGGUUGUGGUCCAGGUGGUCGCGGGUUCGAUCCCCGUCAUCCACC